rnacentral:rRNA from 1 species
GUGUCAGCCGCCGCGGUAAUACGUAGGUGGCAAGCGUUGUCCGGAUUUAUUGGGCGUAAAGGGCGUGUAGGCGGAUUCUUAAGUGAGAUGUGAAAUCCCCGGGCUUAACUUGGGGGCUGCAUUUCAAACUGGAUGUCUUGAGUGCAGGAGAGGAAAGUGGAAUUCCUAGUGUAGCGGUGAAAUGCGUAGAGAUUAGGAGGAACACCAGUGGCGAAGGCGGCUUUCUGGACUGCAACUGACGCUGAGGCGUGA